GGUUAAGCGACUAAGCGUACACGGUGGAUGCCCUGGCAGUCAGAGGCGAUGAAGGACGUGCUAAUCUGCGAAAAGCGUCGGUAAGGUGAUAUGAACCGUUAUAGCCGGCGAUGUCCGAAUGGGGAAACCCAGUGUGAUUCGUCACACUAUCGUUAACUGAAUACAUAGGUUAACGAGGCGAACCGGGGGAACUGAAACAUCUAAGUACCCCGAGGAAAAGAAAUCAACCGAGAUUCCCCCAGUAGCGGCGAGCGAACGGGGAGCAGCCCAGAGUCUGAAUCAGCUUGUGUGUUAGUGGAACGGUCUGGAAAGUCCGACGGUACAGGGUGAUAGUCCCGUACACCAAAAUGCACAGGCUGUGAACUCGAAGAGUAGGGCGGGACACGUGGUAUCCUGUCUGAAUAUGGGGGGACCAUCCUCCAAGGCUAAAUACUCCUGACUGACCGAUAGUGAACCAGUACCGUGAGGGAAAGGCGAAAAGAACCCCGGCGAGGGGAGUGAAAAAGAACCUGAAACCGUGUACGUACAAGCAGUGGGAGCACCUUCG
rnacentral:rRNA from 1 species